UACGUAGGGUGCGAGCGUUAAUCGGAAUUACUGGGCGUAAAGCGUGCGCAGGCGGUUCGUUGUGUCUGCUGUGAAAUCCCCGGGCUCAACCUGGGAAUGGCAGUGGAAACUGGCGAGCUUGAGUGUGGCAGAGGGGGGUGGAAUUCCGCGUGUAGCAGUGAAAUGCGUAGAGAUGUGGAGGAACACCGAUGGCGAAGGCAGCCCCCUGGGCCGACACUGACGCUCAGGCACGAAAGCGCGGGGAGCAAACAGG
rnacentral:rRNA from 1 species